AAGGUAUAAAAUUUAAAAUAAAAAGGGAAUAGGUGCAGAGACUCAAUGGAAACUGUUCUAACAAAUAGAGUUGACUACGUUGCAUCAGUAGCUGAAAUCUUCCAAUGAAUGGAAACUGUUCUAACGAAUAGAGUUGACUAUGUUGCAUAAGUAGCUGGAAUCUUCCAACGAAUAGAGUUGACUACAUUGCGUUAGUAGCUGAAAUCCGUUGGUGCAGCAUUUAGCCCCGCAUAGCACUUAGCUCUUACACUUUCGACUGACAUUUAGCUUUUGAUAUCAAUUGUAAUAACUCGACCCGCUAGCAAUAAUAACUCAUUGGGUCCAAACCACCGACCCAAAAUACUUAAGUCCAAUUGUCAUUACUGACGUGUAGACAUCAUAUAUUCUAAUCAAAAUCAUUUUUCCAUCAAAUGUGAGACUAUUAGAGCAUUACAAUUGGUGAAUUAAUUGUAUUCUUUAUUUGAAUAACCAAUGGCUGAGAUUAAUUCUGACAGAUUUGCAGAAAAU
rnacentral:lncRNA from 1 species